GUUACGCAUUUUAAUGAGUUUGUAAUAAGCAAAGUACUACGGAAGAAGUAAUUUGCAUUUCACAGCACUAUUUAGAUAGAAUACUUUGUUAACACUCACUACAUUGAAGCAGGAAAAUUAGCCCAACUUCACAAGGAUUUAGAGUCUGAACACGUGCAGGCCAUUGUGCAGAAGAUGAUAUGCUUUUAAAGCUGGAAGAAAAGUUACUUGGUAAUACCCACAGUGAGAGAGAACAGAGGAAUACAACACCUGCACCUUAUUCACCUAGAGAAUAAGGCAGCAACAACCACUACUGGAUUUGUGCUGCGUGUCAGCAUUUCAGUGUCUCAGUUUGCACCUUGCGGUGGUGAUGCACACCAAUGUUUAGUUUGAAGGAAGCAUCCCUCCCUCCAUCCCUCCCUGCAGGCAUUCAAGCCUCCUUGGGCAACCUGUUCAGUGCGUCACCACCCUCCGCGUGAAAAGCUUCCUCCUAAUAUCUAACCGAAAACCUCCCCUGUCUCAGUUUCAAACCAUUCCCCCUUGUCCUAUCACUGUCCACCCUCAUAAACAGCUGUUCCCCCUCCUGCUUAUACACUCCCUUCAAAUACUGGAAGGCCACAGUGAGGUCUCCCUGGAGCCUUCUCUUCUCCAAGCUGAACAAUCCCAGUUCCCUCAACCUUUCCUCAUAGGAGAGGUGCUCCAGCCCUCUGAGCAUCUUUGUGGCCCUCUUCUGAACCCAUUCCAAGAGCUCCACGUCUUUCUUGUGCUGAUAAUUCUUCUGCUGAUUUCAGUCUGUCAGGUUGAAGCCCUGCAGUGCUGUCUGAGUGCUGGGCUGCCAUGCAGCCUGAUGCUCCCACUGCAGUGAUGGGGCAGGAGAGUUUGUGAUCCGCUCUGAUCAGCAUUUCCCAUUUUUAUGCAUUAAAUAUAUCACACCAUUGUGUUUUGUGCUGCUUCACAGUGCCAGGUGAACACUACAGGCGUCAGCUGCCACCUCCAGACUUCCAGAGAGCCCUAUGAGAGUGUGGAACCACAGCAAAGGUAGGAGAUAAAUCUCCCACCUUAAAAUACAGAAGAUAGCAAAGCGUAUUUUCAGUGUUAUUUCUCAGUAAACUGCAGGAAUGGGUCACUGCAGGCAGCGAGGACCCCCACAUGCUGCUAAUACAGUUUAUUUAUCCCUCAAAUUCUUGCUUAAUACUCCAGGAUUCACAGCGUUGUGAUGGCCAGCUUCAGUUCUGUGUUGGUGCACUGCAACUGGGCAGACGGGGUUGUUUUGGAGAACGCAUCUUAAUUCAGGUCUAAAUUUCUCCAGUACAGAAAAUAGAAGCAAUAAGUAAUAAAUAGGCUCUUAAAUCUCUCUUCUACAAUCUUCUUCAAUAAAAGGUCAGCUAAACAUUUUGUGCCUUAUAGAAAUGGAGCAUCUGAUUGUAAAGCAAAUUCAACCAGCAAAGCAGAGCUGUUGCUUGUAGUGCAACAGAGAUAAACAGAAGGCAGAUAAAAUUCCACCCCAAACAAAGCACACACGUAAAAACCCACUCAGAUCUAUAAUUCAGUGGGUUCAAAACAUAUCCAGGCAGGUCUAUGAGGUGCUGACACCUGGGACCAGUGAUUUUACCUUGAAGGAAAUGAAGGCCUGCAUCAUUCUUUAUCUCACUCCCUGCUUUAUUUGCUGCUUUUAUUCAGCUGAAGUUCUUUUUUCUGCAGUGUCCCUCCUCCCAUCACAAGACCAGGAGUGCUUCUUCCACACUGGUUUGUCCCAAUGCCCCUUUGAACGCUGGGCUGCCACUGUGUGCCAGACAGCCAUUCAUACACACAAGCACUCAGAAAUACUCACAAAGUUCUUCUCUUCUCCUUCCUGUGCAUCACCUGCAGCUCAGUGUGUGAGCUGAGUUCUCAGCUGGGAUACACAUGUGGAAAUCACUGCCUUAUAUUCAUUAUUUGCAUCCCUCUCUAGGACAAGCACACAUAAUUGAAGAAGAUAACUCCAACUUACUCUCCCUAUGAGCAUAUUGCCAUGCCAAUAUGUCUUGAUUAGGUUGAUUUCCUCCUAAAAAGAAAGCAUUUUUGUAUUGUGGUGCCUAAGAAGAUUUCCAGCAGAGCCUGCUGCUUGAGCUCUGCUAGCGAUACUUACAUUCAGUAUUCUCAUUGCUCUUGUUUAUCUUUUUAUUAUGCUCACAUUCUCAUCCUUCAUCCCACCCGUCUCCAUCAGCGGGCCGUAACACUUUCACACCAGCAAGCAGGCCUGAAGGCAAAUAUUGUCCAAAUAUUGUCUGUCACUGCCACGUUUUGUUUUAAUUCCUGAGACCAGGAGAUCCGGCCGUGCUGCUGCACACCCAACAGCCACACAGUUUCUGGGUUCUCAGCCUGGGCCAUCCCUGUGUGCCCCACUGCCACGUUUCCCAGGAGCUGGCAGCCACCGUGCAGGUGACCUCCUGCCCCAUAGCCCAGAGCUGGGGGACUGCAGCUCAGCACAAAGGCAGCUCCAUACAGAAGGGCUGUAGCUCCAGCCGGUGUCCUCUCACAUCCCUGACACUUCCCACUCGAGUAUUUAACCCCCAGUGCUGGAGGAGGUGACAGUACUUUUUUAUGGCUUUGAGGGGGUGACCUUUUCUAUCAUCGUACUUUACUCACUUUCCCCUUCUGCAUGAAAAAAAAAAAAAAAAAAAAAAAAA
rnacentral:lncRNA from 1 species